rnacentral:rRNA from 1 species
UACGGAGGGGGCUAGCGUUAUUCGGAAUUAUUGGGCGUAAAGGGCGCGUAGGCGGCCCGGUAAGUCAAAGGUGAAAUCCCUCGGCUCAACUGAGGAACUGCCUUUGAAACUGUCGGGCUUGAGGCCGGGAGGGGGUAGCGGAAUUCCCAGUGUAGCGGUGAAAUGCGUAGAUACUGGGAGGAACACCAGUGGCGAAGGCGGCUACCUGGACCGGUUCUGACGCUGAUGCGCGAAAGCGUGGGUAGCAAACAGG